GUCCAGACUCCUACGGGAGGCAGCAGUGGGGAUAUUGCACAAUGGGGGGAACCCUGAUGCAGCGACGCCGCGUGAAGGAAGAAGUAUCUCGGUAUGUAAACUUCUAUCAGCAGGGAAGAAAAUGACGGUACCUAACUAAGAAGCCCCGGCUAACUACGUGCCAGCAGCCGCGGUAAUAUGUAGGGGGCAAGCGUUAUCCGGAUUUACUGGGUGUAAAGGGGGCGCAGACGGCGAUGCAAGCCAGGAGUGAAAGCCCGGGGCCCAACCCCGGGACUGCUCUUGGAACUGCGCGGCUGGAGUGCAGGAGGGGCAGGCGGAAUUCCUGGCGUAGCGGUGAAAUGCGUAGAUAUCAGGAGGAACACCAGUGGCGAAGGCGGCCUGCUGGACGAUGACUGACGUUGAGGCUCGAAAGCGUGGGGAGCAAACAGGAUUAGAUACCCUUGUAG
rnacentral:rRNA from 1 species